rnacentral:rRNA from 1 species
UACGUAGGGGGCUAGCGUUGUCCGGAAUCAUUGGGCGUAAAGCGCGCGUAGGCGGCCAGAUAAGUCCGGUGUGAAAGCCACAGGCUCAACCUGUGAAUGCCGCUGGAAACUGUCUGGCUAGAGUCCGGGAGGGGCGAGUGGAAUUCCUGGUGUAGCGGUGAAAAUGCGCAGAUAUCAGGAGGAACACCAAUGGCGAAGGCAGCUCGCUGGAACGGAACUGACGCUGAGGCGCGAAAAGCGUGGGGGAGCGAACAGG